rnacentral:rRNA from 1 species
AGAGUUUGAUCCUGGCUCAGAGCGAACGCUGGCGGCAGGCUUAACGCAUGCAAGUCGAGCGGGCGUAGCAAUACGUCAGCGGCAGACGGGUGAGUAACGCGUGGGAACGUACCUUUUGGUUCGGAACAACACAGGGAAACUUGUGCUAAUACCGGAUAAGCCCUUACGGGGAAAGAUUUAUCGCCGAAAGAUCGGCCCGCGUCUGAUUAGCUAGUUGGUGAGGUAAUGGCUCACCAAGGCGACGAUCAGUAGCUGGUCUGAGAGGAUGAUCAGCCACAUUGGGACUGAGACACGGCCCAAACUCCUACGGGAGGCAGCAGUGGGGAAUAUUGGACAAUGGGCGCAAGCCUGAUCCAGCCAUGCCGCGUGAGUGAUGAAGGCCCUAGGGUUG